CCUGAACGCUGGCGGCGUGGUUAAGACAUGCAAGUCGCACGGGUGUAGCAAUACAUCAGUGGCGCACGGGUGAGUAGUGUAUCGCUAACGUACCCUGGACUCUGGGAUAGCUGCCCGAAAGGGCAGGUAAUACCAGAUGAGACCACGGUCCCGCAUGGGAUUGUGCUCAAAGGUCCGCCGGUCUGGGAGCGGGCGAUAUCGUAUCAGCUAGUUGGUGAGGUAACGGCUUACCAAGGCGACGACGCGUAGCCGGACUGAGAGGUCGGUCGGCCACAUCGGGACUGAGACACUGCCCGGACUCCUACGGGAGGCAG
rnacentral:rRNA from 1 species